UACAGAGGAUGCAAGCGUUAUCCGGAAUGAUUGGGCGUAAAGCGUCUGUAGGUGGCUUUUUAAGUCCGCCGUCAAAUCCCAGGGCUCAACUCUGGACAGGCGGUGGAAACUACCAAGCUGGAGUUCGGAAGAGGCGAGUGGAAUUCCCGGUGUAGCGGUGAAAUGCGCAGAUAUCGGGAGGAACACCAAUGGCGAAGGCAGCUCGCUGGGACGUUACUGACGCUGAGACGCGAAAGCGUGGGGAGCAAACAGG
rnacentral:rRNA from 1 species